UGGAAAGGAAUGGAGUGGAAUAGAUUAGAGUGGAAUGGAAUGGAUUGGAAAGUAAUGGAUUGGAAUGGAAUUUUUUUGAAUGGAUUGGAAUUAAAUGGAAUGGAAUGUAAUGUAAUUAAAUGGUAUGGAAUAAAAUAGAAUGAAAGAGAAUUAAAUGGAAUUGAAUUGAAUGGAAUUGAAUGGAUUGGAAAGGAAUAGAAUGGAAUGGA
rnacentral:misc_RNA from 1 species